CCUAAGGAAAACAAGAAGACUGAAUGAUAUUCCCUGCUGACUUAUAUAAGUUAUUAGUCUUCUAGAAGGAUCACAAGGAACCAGCAUCAAAGAAAUGGAAUCCAGCUAAUUCCCCCAAGAAACUGAAGUUUUCGGGACAUGACUUGUGAAAGGCAAACAUAAGCUGACAUCUUUUCACACUGAACAGCAAGAGCCAAAGUGUAUCCGAAAAGCCAUUGUCAAAACAAGGAGUGAGAACAGCUGGGGUCAAGACCUAAUGAAGGGCAUCACUCAGCCUCUUUGAGCCUCGGAUUCCUCAUUUGUAAAGUGGGCAUAAUAAUACCUCACAGGGUAGUUAUGAGGGCAAAUGAGAUAAUGGACACGAAGGCACCUGUACACUCCACGGUGCUAUCAGAAUAUUGACUAUUAGUGCUUUCAUCACGCGGCUCCAUCCAAACCCCUGCUUUCCCUCACUCCAGUGGUGCAAAGGAUCAGCACGGGAGUUUUGACCUGCUCCGUUUCCGACCUGGGUCGGUUCACCCCUCCUUAGGCAACCUGGCGGUUCCCCGCUCCAGGGAGGUCACCCUCUUGAUGCUGAAUUUAGCACGGACACCUGAUGGGCACAGUGCACUGCAGCCCAGAGCUCCUGAGCUCAAGCCAUCCUCCUGCCUCAGCCUCCAAGUAGCCAGGACCACAGGCACGCACCCUGAGGUAUGCCAUUUCUCUU
rnacentral:lncRNA from 1 species